AAGAGCCGCCCAAAAGAGGUGGGAGGCGUCACAUGGACGUCUGGCGUCCUCCAUCUUUUUUCAAAUCUUUGGAACUUGUUUUGUUACAAUGUGUAUUCAAAGUGGUUGUGAUUAUUUUUAUUAACUACUUUUUUUCAAAAUGUUCUGUAUUGAUAGCUUUUGACAUUGGCCAAAAAGUACACCUCAUUAAAAUCGGUUGAGAAAUUAGCAAAUUACGACAGCGUCUUUUACGUCAUCAAUAUCCGACCAAAAGGGUUAGAUUUACGGCACGUGUCCUCAUGAAGCGCGACGAUGGCAUAUUCAUUCAAGUCUUUCGAACCGUUUUGAUGAAAAUGUAUCAUAAAUAGUCAGUAAUUGUUGGGUUGAUGGAUUUUCCUUAAAUUAAUACGUUUUUUAACAUACUAAAUGGCCUUUCGUUUUGGGAGGAACCCUCUUGUCUCAACUGUUCACUCUCCGACACGAGUCCGGAAGUCGUCGACAAGAGUCCCAACAACAACGCGACCAAACUUUAUUAUUCCUCCAACACGAGUACAGUAAUCGUGCAGCCUUAACAGACGUGUUUCCUAAAUGCUGUGCUGUUAGCAAGAUGGCGCCCAGGGUGAACGACGUCAUGCGUCUGUGCUGCGACAUCUCGGCUCACGAGCACAUCAAGGUGGCGGUCAAAAGCUCGGCCAAGGGAGCCAUGAUGGCGGGCGGCAGCGCCUUCGUCUGAGGCCUGGUGGGCGGACCGCCCGGCAUCGCUGUUGGUAAGAACAACUACAAACCGGUUAUCUCCAAUAAGCACAAACAAUGUCAAGCAUUGGGGGAGGGUUUUAUUUUUAUUUUUAAUAAAGAAGGCACUAAUUGGUGGGGAAGCUCUAUUCGGAAGCUGAAUUGGAGUCAUAUGCUCUGACCUCUUUGUUCUGGUCAGAACCCGAGUCGCAGCAUUCUGAAUGAGCUUCAGCUGUUUCAUGUUCUUUUUAGGGAGUCCAGUCAGAAGACCAUUACAAUAGUCAAGUGUACUUGAGAUAAAAGCAUGGAUGAGCUUCUCCUAGUCUGCUUGACACAUGCAAGCCUUCACUCUCAUGUUCUUCAGCUGAGAGAAGGCAGUUUUAGUAGUUGAUUUGAUAUGACUGUUAAAAGUCAGGCCGGAGUCUAUCAGUACACCAAGGUUUUGGACUUGGUCUGUGGUUUUUAAGAGAGUGAUUCCAGGUAUUUACUAACAGCAAUCCUCUUCACUGUCAAAAACAACAAUCUCAGUUUUGUUGUGGUUUAAUUGAAAAAAGUUUUGGCUCAUCCAGUUAUUUAUCUGUUUUAGACAGCGACACAAAAACUCCAUUGAACUGUAGUCAUCUGGAGACAGUGCUGGAUAUAACUGUGUGUCAUCUGCAUAGCUAUGCUAGUCAACAUUAAGGUUCUUAAGAAAUUUUCACCCAAGGGUAGCAUGUACAGGCUGAACAAGAGGGGUCCAAGAACUGACCCUUGAGGGACCCCAUAGGUCAUUGCCAUUCGAUGAGAUUGAACACUUCCAACGGUUUCAAAAUAACUCCUUUCCUCCAGGUAGGACCUGAAUCAUUUCAGGACUGUUCCAUUUAGUCCUACCCACGUUUCCAACCUGUUCAGCAGUAUAUUAUGAUCUACCGUAUCAAAGACCCGAAUUGACACCGUUCCCGAGUCAGUAUUCAACCUUAUAUCAUUUAGCACUUUGAUAAGAGCAGAUUCUGCACUGUGAUGAGUUCGCAAACCUGAUUGAAAUUUGUCAAAAGGUCCAUUUAAGUUCAAGAAAUUGCUGAGUUGAUUAAAAAUAACUUUCUCAACAAUCUUUGCUAUGAAAGGGAGAUUUGAGAUGGGUCUAAAGCAGGGGUGCCAAAACUUUUUGGCUCAGGGGCCACAUUGCCGUAAAAAAAUGGUCAUGCGGGCCAGCAUUAAUUUUACAUGCUACCGACGAGGGGAAUGCUUUUUUGUAUUUUUAUUUUACUGUUUUACUAUGCUGUCUGCUGCUAGGUAGAUCUUAUAACUGCCUGAC